CCAAAUUAUAGGCUAUAACCCUAUAUAUCUUACAUGGCCCACCCAGUUCAACUAGGUCUACAAGAUGCUACAUCCCCUGUCAUAGAAGAGCUAAUCACCUUCCACGACUAUGCAUUUAUAACUAUCUCUUUAAUUAGCUUUUUAGUCCUAUACGCCCUAUCCUCAACACUCACAACAAAACUAACCAAUACCAACAUUACAGACGCCCAGGAGAUAGAGACCACUUGAACCAUCUUACCCGCAAUCAUUCUAAUCCUGAUUGCCCUACCAUCUCUACGCAUUCUGUACCUAACAGACGAAAUCAACAACCCCUCCUUUACUAUUAAAUCAAUUGGACAUCAAUGAUACUGAACCUACGAAUACACAGACUACGGAGGCCUCAUCUUUAAUUCUUACAUACUGCCUCCAUUAUUCUUAAACCCAGGAGACCUUCGACUUCUAGAAGUUGACAACCGAGUGGUUCUCCCAAUUGAAGCCCCCGUCCGUAUAAUAAUCACAUCUCAAGAUGUCCUACACUCAUGAACUAUUCCCACACUAGGUUUAAAAACAGAUGCAGUACCCGGACGCUUAAAUCAAACCACAUUUACCGCCACACGACCAGGCGUCUAUUAUGGACAAUGCUCAGAAAUCUGUGGAGCUAACCACAGCUUCAUACCUAUCGUCGCAGAACUAAUCCCAUUAAAAAUCUUUGAAAUAGGACCUGUGUUUACCCUAUAAAUAUCCCACUCCCUUUCCACUAUACAAAUGCACUGCACAGCUAUUCUAGCGUUAACCUUUUAAGUUAAAAAUUGAGGGGCAUGCCCUCUGCAGCGAAAUGCCUCAAUUAGACACAUCCACAUGAUUUAUCACUAUUACAACAAUACUUCCUACACUAUAUCUUAUUACACAACUAAAACUGCUAGACAUAUGUUACUAUCAAUCCCCCCAACAAAAAAAACUCUGACAAGCAAACCCCCAAUAACCACUGACAACUAAAAUGAACGAAAAUUUAUUUACCUUAUUCGCAACUCCAAUAAUCCUAAACCAACCUGCUACAAUCCCCAUCAUCAUAUUCCCCGUACUACUAAUUCCAACUUCCAAACACCUCAUUAACAACCGACUAACCACUAUUCAACGUAACCUAGUACUACUCGCUCUAAAGCAAAUAAUAAUAACCCACAAUGCUAAGGGGCGAACCUGGUCCCUAAUACUAAUGUCUCUAAUCACCUUUAUCACCACAACUAAUCUUCUAGGACUUCUACCCCACUCAUUUACACCUACCACCCAACUAUCUAUAAACCUCGCUAUAGCAAUCCCCUUAUGAGCCGGCACAGUAAUUACAGGCCUUCGCUUUAAAACCAAAAACUCCCUAGCUCACCUCCUACCACAAGGCACACCAACAUUACUCAUUCCCAUACUAGUAAUAAUCGAAACCAUUAGCUUGAUUAUUCAACCAGUGGCCCUAGCUGUACGCUUAACUGCCAACAUCACGGCCGGCCACCUGCUAAUACACCUAAUCGGAAACACUGCACUAACACUACUAAGUAUCAGCCCCCCCGCUGCUUUACUAACCUUUACACUUCUAAUACUACUCACCAUCCUAGAGAUCGCAGUUGCUUUAAUCCAAGCCUAUGUUUUCACACUUCUAGUUAGCCUCUAUUUACACAACAACACCUAAUGACCCACCAAUUCCAUGCUUAUCACAUAGUCAAACCCAGCCCUUGACCACUAACAGGAGCUCUGUCAGCCCUUCUAAUAACAUCCGGCUUAGUCGUGUGAUUCCACUUCUAUUCUACCACUCUAUUGACACUAGGCCUACUAACCAUAACACUAACCCUUCACCAAUGAUGACGCGAUGUCGUACGAGAAAGCACCUAUCAAGGACAUCACACGACACCCGUUCAAAAAAACCUUCGCUAUGGCAUAGUCCUAUUCAUUAUCUCGGAAAUCUUCUUCUUUACCGGGUUCUUCUGAGCAUUCUACCACUCAAGCCUAGCCCCAACCCCCUAUUUAGGAGGCCACUGACCACCAACAGGUAUUACCCCAUUAGAUCCCUUAGAAGUACCCCUUCUAAACACCUCCGUAUUAUUAGCAUCAGGAGUCACAAUUACCUGAGCUCACCACAGCCUUAUAAACAACAAUCGAAAACAAACAACCCAAGCCCUACUCAUUACAAUUCUACUAGGCAUCUACUUCACCCUACUACAGAUCUCAGAGUACUUUGAAGCACCCUUCACCAUCUCCGACGGCAUCUAUGGCUCAACAUUCUUUAUCGCUACGGGCUUCCAUGGACUCCAUGUCAUCAUUGGAUCCACUUUCCUCCUUAUCUGCCUCAUUCGCCAACUAUUAUUCCACUUCACACCAAAUCACCACUUCGGCUUUGAGGCUGCCACUUGAUAUUGACACUUCGUAGACGUCGUAUGAUUACUCCUUUAUAUCUCUAUUUACUGAUGAGGAUCCUA